AUUGAACGCUGGCGGCAGGCCUAACACAUGCAAGUCGAACGAGUGGCGGACGGGUGAGUAAUGUAUGGGAAACUGCCUGAUGGAGGGGGAUAACUACUGGAAACGGUAGCUAAUACCGCAUACACUCGGAUGUGCCCAUAUGGGAUUAGCUAGUAGGUGGGGUAAAGGCUCACCUAGGCGACGAUCCCUAGCUGGUCUGAGAGGAUGAUCAGCCACACGGGAACUGAGACACGGUCCAGACUCCUACGGGAGGCAGCAGUGGGGAAUAUUGCACAAUGGGCGCAAGCCUGAUGCAGCCAUGCCGCGUGUAUGAAGAAGGCCUUCGGGUUGUAAAGUACUUUCAGUGGGGAGGCGUUACCGGCAGAAGAAGCACCGGCUAACUCCGUGCCAGCAGCCGCGGUAAUUC
rnacentral:rRNA from 1 species